GUGAGGAAUAAGCUUGCGAAAGCGGGUCUAAUACCGCAUAACGUCCCGGGACGAAUGUCCCGUGACCAAAGCCGUAAGGCGCUUGGGGAUGAGCCUGCGUCCUAUUAGCUAGUUGGUAGGGUAACGGCCUACCAAGGCGAUGAUGGGUAGCCGGCCUGAGAGGGUGAUCGGCCACACUGGAACUGAGACACGGUCCAGACUCCUACGGGAGGCAGCAGUGAGGAAUUUUGCGCAAUGGGCGAAAGCCUGACGCAGCGACGCCGCGUGGAGGAAGACGGCCUUCGGGUUGUAAACUCCUGUCAGAGGUGAAGAAUGCCCGCAAGGGCUUGACGGUAACCUCAGAGGAAGCCCCGGCUAACUACGUG
rnacentral:rRNA from 1 species